GCUGAAGCUGAAACUCCAGUACUUUGGUCACCUCAUGCGAAGAACUGACUCAUUGGAAAAGACCCUUAUGCUGGGCAAGAUUGAAGGUGGGAGGAGAAGGGGAUGACAGAGGAUGAGAUGGUAGGAUGGCAUCACUGACUUGAUGGACAUGAGUUUGAGUGAGUUCUGGGAGUUGGUGAUGGACAGGGAGGCCUGGCGUGCUGCAGUCCAUGGGGGUCACGAAGAGUCAGACACGACUGAGCAACUCAGCUGAACUGAAUACCUUUGUUGCUCUUCCUGGCAUGCCAGAACCUGUGUAUUUACCAUCUGGGAUUUGCUGAAACCCCACUUAGGUAAACUGUCUUUUUAAGAAGACUGAAACAUGCAGAGGUACAGACAUUUUUAAGCAUUGGGAGAAUAUUUUGGAGUUUCCCAAGCCUAUCUAAAUGACCAUAUUCAAACAUGAAGAGCUGCUGACAGUUUAAAAAAUGAAUUUAUGUUCAUUUUUUUGGUGGAAAUUGUUCAUAUUUCUCUUUUACAUGCAGCGCUACAGAAUCAUGCUGAGAUUUUUACAACAGUCUCCACUGAUGGAACACCCAAGAAGUGAGAAUUUAAAAAAGUUUACCAAUCCAGAAAAUCCUGCCCCAAUAUCCUCCCCACCAGGACUAACGAAGUUGCUACCAUCCAAGCUGCCUUCAAAGAACCAAAUGCAGGUUCCAUGCUUGCAGGGGACAAAAACCAACACUAAAAAAAGACCUUUGGGAUGAUACCAGUGGACUAAUCUCACAGAUUCUGACUUAUUUCCAAUUGCCUAGAAAUUAAAAAAGGAAAAACUAUAGUAGUGAUAUAGUUCUGAAAAUAAGUGAGUUUGUGGACAGGUUGAACGACUCACUGUCAGUAACCAUGUAGGAUUUUGUACACGUACCCCCUCACUCCCUUUCUCCUGCUAUUUCUCCACUCUUCCAGCAGGUGGCACUACAGUCACAGAACAAACAUUCCACAGCAGGGUAUGUAACUUUAUUUUUCUACCAUAAUAAUUUAAAGUAUUUACACACUGCACACUCACUGUUUUACACAGAUACUUAUUCAUAUACCUAUGAACCACAUCUAAAGGUUUCUUUGUAAAGACUCGACACACUGUGGGGGUUUCCGAGCGUAACAAAGAGAAGGGAAGGACAAAAAAAGUUUUGAGUCUUCAGACAGCCAUGUGGUGCAUCUGUGAAAACCAGUGUGUUCCCACAAGAUUAAGCUCCCCCAGAAGACGUCCUACCUAACGUGUGAGUAUGACCCAAAACGCUUCUGGUUAAGGGGGGGAUUUCAAAAACCAACAUGUGCAAGGAACAUUUUUCUUUUUCCUCCCCAGACAUUCUAUCAAAGAAACAGAAGAAAAUAAACCAGGCCCUUCUCUAGAGAAAUACCUGUAUUUCUGAAACAGUUAUCCAUGGGGAAGACUUCAGAGUCAUAGAGAGACACUGACUGCAAAGGGAAAACAGCCAAAUCCACUGGUACUAAGAGACGUGAUGCAACCUUUCCAGGUAAAUGAUGCAGCAAAAAAAACCCAGUUUCCUCUUCCCAGGUAUUUGGAGAGGCAGUUGUUUUGCUUUUGCUGAAAAGGACACAGGUAUGUUACAUCAUGUACACACUAAACCCAGACAUCGUAGAAAACCUCUACCGCUUUCCACUUUUAGACUAUUUGCACAAAAAUAGUGGUUAGAGGUACCCUAAAUAUUUUUCCUCCUGCAUUCUACUCGGUUACAUAACAGAAGUACUAGCUAACUACAGCUUCUGACCUGGGCACGUGAUUCCAUAAGGGAACAAGAGCAGUCACCGUUCAGAGCUGAUGGCAGGCAGGCCCCCGUUCGGCUUUGAUACAAGGAUAACAGGUUUGGGUUCAGCUCUCUGGCGCUGCAUCUUUGCCCAGUAAGAGGCAGGAUGCCUCUGGGAUUUUCCCAGACUGGCCAAUAUCAUUCUCUCGUACAUUGGAAGAUGGGCUAGAGAGAAGCUUUGCCACCUCUGGUGAGUCGACAGCUCCAUGCUGUGACCAACAGAUCAGUUCACAAAGAAACAGAACUUUCACGAAGCGACAUCCUCUUUGCUACCAGUCUGGUAGUGCCACUCAUCAAAAGGAAGAAAUUAACCCAGCCAACUAAAACUACGCACAACCUUGACCCAAAUCUCUGUGGCCUUUCAAGUUCACCGUCUGUUUGCAUUUACGUAAAUGACUCAAGUACAAACUCUACCACUAAUUCUUAGAACCAGAUAUUUACAUUUUAGGUAUAACAAUAGAAACCUACCUAUCCUGGAGUUCAUGUUCUCAGCUACUGCUCUUGCCUUUGGAUGGUGGUGGUUUCCUUUUUUCAAGAGGUGCCAACAACGAUGGAAUGCAAGAAGGAAGGAGUUGCUCGUGUAGCUCAGUGAAAUCACUAUCAAGUUACACGAGCAACUAAUAGUCAACCUACGCAUAUUAAGAGGGAAAGUGACUACAUGGAGAGGCCACGUGGGGAGCCUGGCCAAUGGGAAUGACCAACCAGCACCCAGUCAAGCUGCAUACAGGGUCAGGCCAAGGAAAAACGUCUGUUGUCAGGACCCCAGUCCAUCCCAUCACACACACAGACGCAAAGUGGGAGACUGGGGAAGACCACGGUGUGGGAGACAAGGAAGAGGAAAUCUUUGUGAUGGGGUCUGGGUCUUCACAUGAAAGAAUCUAAUACACCCCAGAGCCUGGGCUCCCGGGCUCCAACACUGAGCCUGGGGAGGGCUUACUGGGUGUGGACAUGGUGAGUACAAGUCCAGACAGCCAGAGAGGAGGCGGCUGAGAACGCGGGCUUGUACAAAUCACAGAGGGAAGAGCAAGGCACGAUCGCUGCACUUACAGGUUUGCACUUUCUUUGUUCAAUGUAGAAUGGAGUUAAAAGAGGAAAAGUGACAGUUUGAACAGGGAAUGAGGAUGACAAAAGUCUGAGAGGGCUCUUGCAAGAUGCCUGGUAUCUCCUUACCCAUUGCCAUCUGGAGCCCCUCCUGACCUAGAAAACAGCAGUUUCAUACGUUUAACCUACCUCGCUCUAAGCGCUCAGAUGUAUCAAUCCUAGUUAAUAAGAACUGUGCUAACAUUCUCCCCACCCUCUGAAAACAAUUGGCAGCUGUCCAAGAGGGAGAGGGCUUCCCAGAAUCAGUGUUUAACAGCCAAAAACACCUGUCGUGGGGUGGGGUGGGGCGGUUAACAAUCCUUCCACGUGGGUGAGGGCAGGAGAAGCGGGCAAGGACCUAGUUCCAAGGAACGAGGCAGUGGCACCAGGAGGGCAGCAGUUGAAAGCUGGGCACGCAGCGAUGGCCAAGGCUGUAGGCCGUGAGGGCACCGCCAGCAAGAGCUGCAAACAAGGUCACCGGUCCUCUUCCAAGGGCGCGCCGCAUACGGUGUCUGUGCGCGUGUACUAUAUACGUACUGACCAGGUACACACAUAAAUAUUUAAUAUAUAAAAAAUAAAGUGCUUUCUAACAGGUCCCCGGGCAGGGACGUUAUAAAACAUUUCACAAAACUGCAAAAAAAAAAAAAAAAGGUAACGGUCCAAGAACACUACAUCCAACAUUAUGUGGAACAUAGCCAAGCGAUAUGUACAAAUCAGGUGGGCAUCCGGGACACACGCAUCCUGUCAUAUACAUGGUAUAUACAUAUAUACUCUUUUUACUCAAUAUAUUAUGACAAUAUAUAUUUUUUAAAAAUUUUGUUAUAGACAGGAGAAACGGAACAGAAGAAAAAAAAAAACAAAAAAACGAAAAAGAUAAUCCCCUACAAAAACACAACUAGGAUCAAGCAUGUGAGUCCCAGACUGACAGACGACAGGGGGCGUCCACGGGGAGCCCCGCGGCACUGCUCGGGAAAAUAUGCCAGCGUUCCUUCCUGGGUGUGGACAUGGUGAGUACAAGUCCAGACAGCCAGAGAGGAGGCGGCUGAGAACGCGGGCUUGUACAAAUCACAGAGGGAAGAGCAAGGCACGAUCGCUGCACUUACAGGUUUGCACUUUCUUUGUUCAAUGUAGAAUGGAGUUAAAAGAGGGAAAAGUGACAGUUUGAACAGGGAAUGAGGGAUGACAAAAGUCUGAGAGGGCUCUUGCAAGAUGCCUGGUAUCUCCUUACCCAUUGCCAUCUGGAGCCCCUCCUGACCUAGAAAAACAGCAGUUUCAUACGUUUAACCUACCUCGCUCUAAGCGCUCAGAUGUAUCAAUCCUAGUUAAUAAGAACUGUGCUAACAUUCUCCCCACCCUCUGAAAACAAUUGGCAGCUGUCCAAGAGGGAGAGGGCUUCCCAGAAUCAGUGUUUAACAGCCAAAAACACCUGUCGUGGGGUGGGGUGGGGCGGUUAACAAUCCUUCCACGUGGAGUGAGGGCAGGAGAAGCGGGCAAGGACCUAGUUCCAAGGAACGAGGCAGUGGCACCAGGAGGGCAGCAGUUGAAAGCUGGGCACGCAGCGAUGGCCAAGGCUGUAGGCCGUGAGGGCACCGCCAGCAAGAGCUGCAAACAAGGUCACCGGUCCUCUUCCAAGGGCGCGCCGCAUACGGUGUCUGUGCGCGUGUACUAUAUACGUACUGACCAGGUACACACAUAAAUAUUUAAUAUAUAAAAAUAAAGUGCUUUCUAACAGGUCCCGGGCAGGGACGUUAUAAAACAUUUCACAAAACUGCAAAAAAAAAAAAAAAAGGUAACGGUCCAAGAACACUACAUCCAACAUUAUGUGGAACAUAGCCAAACGCGAUAUGUACAAAUCAGGUGGGCAUCCCGGGACACACGCAUCCUGUCAUAUACAUGGUAUAUACAUAUAUACUCUUUUUACUCAAUAUAUUAUGACAAUAUAUAUUUUUUAAAAAUUUUGUUAUAGACAGGAGAAACGGAACAGAAGAAAAAAAAAAACAAA
ensembl:lncRNA